GCCCUUGUAGUGUAAUUGGAAGCAUGUCCGACUGGCAAUCGAAAGAACAUGUGUUCGAAUUCCGGCUAGGGCA
rnacentral:tRNA from 1 species